rnacentral:rRNA from 1 species
AUUGAACGCUGGCGGCAUGCCUUACACAUGCAAGUCGAACGGCAGCACGGGUGCUUGCACCUGGUGGCGAGUGGCGAACGGGUGAGUAAUACAUCGGAACGUACCUUAUCGUGGGGGAUAACGCAGCGAAAGCUGUGCUAAUACCGCAUACGCCCUGAGGGGGAAAGCGGGGGAUCGAAAGACCUCGCGCGAUUAGAGCGGCCGAUGCCUGAUUAGCUUGUUGGUGGGGUAAAAGCCCACCAAGGCGACGAUCAGUAGCUGGUCUGAGAGGACGAUCAGCCACACUGGGACUGAGACACGGCCCAGACUCCUACGGGAGGCAGCAGUGGGGAAUUUUGGACAAUGGGGGAAACCCUGAUCCAGCAAUGCCGCGUGAGUGAAGAAGGCCUCGGGUUGUAAAGCUCUUUGUCAGGGAAGAAACACCGGCUCUAACACAGUCCGGGAAUGACGGUACCUGAAGAAUAAGCACCGGCUAACUACGUGCCAGCAGCC